UACGUAGGGCGCAAGCGUUGUCCGGAAUUAUUGGGCGUAAAGAGCUCGUAGGCGGCUUGUCACGUCGGGUGUGAAAGCCCGGGGCUUAACCCCGGGUCUGCAUUCGAUACGGGCUAGCUAGAGUGUGGUAGGGGAGAUCGGAAUUCCUGGUGUAGCGGUGAAAUGCGCAGAUAUCAGGAGGAACACCGGUGGCGAAGGCGGAUCUCUGGGCCAUUACUGAGGCUGAGGAGCGAAAGCGUGGGGAGCGAACAGG
rnacentral:rRNA from 1 species